UACGGAGGGAGCUAGCGUUGUUCGGAAUUACUGGGCGUAAAGCGCACGUAGGCGGCUUUGUAAGUUAGAGGUGAAAGCCCGGGGCUCAACUCCGGAACUGCCUUUAAGACUGCAUCGCUUGAAUCCAGGAGAGGUGAGUGGAAUUCCGAGUGUAGAGGUGAAAUUCGUAGAUAUUCGGAAGAACACCAGUGGCGAAGGCGGCUCAC
rnacentral:rRNA from 1 species